rnacentral:rRNA from 1 species
UACAGAGGGGGCAAGCGUUGUUCGGAAUUACUGGGCGUAAAGGGCGCGUAGGCGGCCUGCUAAGUCGAACGUGAAAUCCCUGGGCUCAACCCAGGAACUGCGUCCGAUACUGGUUGGCUUGAAUCCGGGAGAGGGGACGUGGAAUUCCAGGUGUAGCGGUGAAAUGCGUAGAUAUCUGGAGGAACACCGGUGGCGAAGGCGACGUCCUGGACCGGCAUUGACGCUGAGGCGCGAAAGCCAGGGGAGCAAACGGG